AUUGAACGCUGGCGGCAGGCCUAACACAUGCAAGUCGAACGGAUCCUUCGGGAUUAGUGGCGGACGGGUGAGUAACACGUGGGAACGUGCCCUUUGGUUCGGAACAACUCAGGGAAACUUGAGCUAAUACCGGAUGCGCCCUUCGGGGGAAAGAUUUAUCGCCAUUGGAGCGGCCCGCGUCUGAUUAGCUAGUUGGUGAGGUAAAGGCUCACCAAGGCGACGAUCAGUAGCUGGUCUGAGAGGAUGAUCAGCCACAUUGGGACUGAGACACGGCCCAAACUCCUACGGGAGGCAGCAGUGGGGAAUCUUGCGCAAUGGGCGAAGGCCUGACGCAGCCAUGCCGCGUGAAUGAUGAAGGUCUUAGGAUUGUAAAAUUCUUUCACCGGGGACGAUAAUGACGGUACCCGGAGAAGAAGCCCCGGCUAACUUCGUGCCAGCCGCCGCCGUAAUAC
rnacentral:rRNA from 1 species